GAUGAACGCUGGCGGCGUGCUUAACACAUGCAAGUCGAACGAAGCACUUAAGAUUGCUUCUUCGGAUGACGUCUUUUGUGCCUUAGUGGCGGACGGGUGAGUAACGCGUGGGUAACCUGCCUCACACAGGGGGAUAACAGUUAGAAAUGACUGCUAAUACCGCAUAACCCGAUAGGAUCGCAUGAUCCAGACGGAAAAGAUUUAUCGGUGUGAGAUGGACCCGCGUCUGAUUAGCUAGUUGGUGAGGUAACGGCCCACCAAGGCGACGAUCAGUAGCCGGCCUGAGAGGGUGAACGGCCACAUUGGGACUGAGACACGGCCCAAACUCCUACGGGAGGCAGCAGUGGGGAAUAUUGCACAAUGGGGGAAACCCUGAUGCAGCGACGCCGCGUGAGUGAAGAAGUAUUUCGGUAUGUAAAGCUCUAUCAGCAGGGAAGAAAAUGACGGUACCUGACGAAGAAGCCCCGGCUAACUACGUG
rnacentral:rRNA from 1 species